ACCUCACUACUUGUGACACAUUGUUGAAUUUUCUGGUUCUGUUAACUUAUUUAGACCUUUUUCUCCCUUCCCUUUCAUUGGAAGACUGGGAUGAUCUUGAACAGAGCGAUAACUCAGGGAUGCCUGGCUAUUGGCCAUCCAGUCAGAGUUGAGACCACCCAGGGAACAUCACUAGAAGGAUAUAAAUUACUGCUACGGAAAAGACAUGAAGAAGAUGAGUCUCAGAAAUGGAUAUUUGGAACAGAUGGCUGUAUUUAUUCUAAGGCUUAUCCUCAGUUUGUCCUGACUUACCUGGAGAAGCUCACUGCUCCAGGGGAUGUGAGCCAAAAAGAGGACCAUAUUCACCACAGAGUCUGGACCACAGCUCAUCAAGAACAUGACAGACCCUGUGUGGAGGAGGGCUUGCAAAAACACGCCAACAGUUCUUUACUGAAGCGGCUGCCAGAACCCUCGGAUACUCAUGAUGUGCCACAAGGCUUUCUGGAGGAAACAGAGCAGCUGGCAGUGGCGCUGCUGAGGAAACUGGAAGAGAAACAUCCCAAGGCUCCUGCUCAGAGGUAGGGCAUCCACAGAGUGGCGCUUCAUUGCUCAAUGACAUUCGACGUUUUCCUUCAGUUUCAUGUAAGAUUGAUUUCUUGAAGAUUGUUGAAAUAUCUCAAAAGCCCCUUGGCUUUCAAUCAUAGUAGUUUCAGGGUCACAUUUGUUGAAGAGAGGUGACAUUUAUGUGUAUUUUGUUGAAGACUGAUUGAUGCAUGUAAUCAUUUAUGAGGAUACUUAGGAUGGAUUGCAGUCUUAGAAUCUCAGUAAAACACACAGAAAUAACAUAAUUAAGCAAAAACAAUACUGAGCAUAUAUCUAAUAGUGAAAGUGCCUACAGGUCUUGGAGAAAGACAAACACAUAGGCAAUCCCUUUGUUUUUUUCUACAAGGAGUGCAUUGUACUUACAUCUGAAGGUACUAGGCGAUCUUCUAUAGUGACACUUACACAUUAGCCAUUUCCAUGACCAGAGGGAAAGUAGGAUCCAGGGUUUGCUAGCAAUUCCAAAUUAUUCCUGGUUGGUAAAUGGAAACUAUUUUUCAUAUUCUCCUCACUUAGCCUGAUUAACAGUUGUUAUAACUGUUGUUUUAUUGGUUGACAAUCACUUUAUCAGCUGUAACUUAAAUCUAUACCUGUUUGAAAUGACUGUUGAGUCACAUGAUCUUAAAGAAGUAAUGCAUUCUCACCCAUGCUGAUUUAAUUUGGUGAUGCCCCUAACUUUAAUUCAGAUAGAAGUGUCAUUUGUAUUAGAAAGAAAAGAACACUUGAUAACUGUAAAGCUGGAGGCUAUUUUACAUUCUUAAAUUAUAGAACCCAUCUCAAUUGACUGCCUUCAAUGGAUUGUUAUUUGGAUGGUGAGGUUCACAAACAAAUACCAAUUUUCUAUCUUACUUUCUCCUAGUGUGAGGGUUUCCUGGAUGGCAUCAAAGUUCAGGUUCCAGGAGAUGUCCUUCCUGGUUCUCAGUUUUUAAAUGUUCACAGGUUCUGUGGUGCUCUAUUGCACGGAAGAAGAACAAAAAUCCGGUAGGGAUAGCAGGAACCUGAAAGCAAAAGCAAUCUGUUCUUCUAGAUCCCAGGAUAAGAGCUAAGCCCAGGAUGAUAAAUCCAAUGCUCUGAAAGAAAAGACAUAGAUGGCUGUGUGAGUCUAGGAAGACACGUCAUGGUAGCUUCACAGGAAGUCUCAACACAUGGCAUGAGUACAGGCUGCAGCCACAUGGCCUGGCCACUCUCCACAGCAUGCUUGGUACCACUCUCAUGUCACUAUGGUAAGAGUCCCUUGGAAACAGUCUUCACUGUUUCCAUUUGAAACAGGGUACUCAGGUAAUGCCCUGAUUUACAGAGGCCUAAUCUUGAAGUCAAUAAUUUCCAAAACUCCUCUUCUGGUUGUGUGACUGUAACUUGUCAUAGAUAUUUUAUGCUUUAGUGAUUUAGCUUUGUACACAUAAACUUCGUGAUAAAAACUAAUAGGUGCUGUUUGGUGGAUCCUUAACAUGUAACCACUGAUAUUCUGCAUAUUUAUUCUUAAAGCAUAAAGGCAAUUGAUUUGCUUUCUGAUCUCAUAACCUGAUGAUAUUACUACUCUCAAAAUAUUCACUAUAUAUUCACUAAUAUACAGAAACAAAUUCAAAGUACUUACAUAGUGCAGUUUUGAGGAAUAUUAUAAUAUCUCUAUUAUGGAGCAUAAGAUUCAAACGCAGACAUGUGUGGCCCUAUAGAUAACCCUUUUCCUCCCUACCUUUAUUUAUUUAGGCCAUACCAGUAUGCAUGUUAUUUAUUAAAAACUAGGUUAAACUAUUUCAUUUUGAUUGGUAUUUUAUUCUGAAUUUUAUUCUUAAACAAAAUUCACAUGCUCCCCUACCAGAAGCACCACACAAUCUAAAACAAUAACUGAGAACUAUGUCCUCCCUUCUACAGGGUCAUUUUUGUUAAUUCAUAUUUUCAGCACUCAGGGACAUGUCUGAUUGUUGAUUGUUUUUCUAGUUGUAACAUGGGAAAAACCUUUUUCUCAUUGAAAAAUAGAAUCCUCUUAUUGUAAGAGGUCCUAAUGCAAGAUACUAGUUUAUGGAGGAUUUAUUUUCUUGUUUGAUCUGGUGACUGACACUUUAGCAAAAUAUUUUUGUGUUGUAUACACAUUUGAUUCCAAGUUUAAUACAAAAGGAAAUAAAUGUCAUUGUCAUCUUUAAGUAUCUGGAAUGUGUUUGUUUACAUUAGUUUGG
ensembl:lincRNA